GAUGAACGCUGGCGGCGUGCCUAAUACAUGCAAGUCGAGCGAACGGACGAGAAGCUUGCUUCUAUGAUGUUAUCGGCGGACGGGUGCGUCACACGUGGUUAACAUAACUAUACGACUGGGAUACCUACAGGAAACCGGAGCUACUACCCGAAAAUAUUUUGCACUGCAUGGUUCACACGUGAAAGACGCUCUUUCUGUGACUUAUAGACGGCUCCGCGCUGCAUGAGUUAGUUGGUAAGGUAAAGGCUUACCAAGGCAACGAGGCAUAGCCGACCCGAGAGGGUGAUCGGCUAGCCUGUAACAGAGACACGGUCCAGACUCCGGGGGUAGGCAGCAGUAGGGAAUCUUCCGCGAAGGACCAGAGCCUGACGGUGCAACGCCGCGUGAGUGAUGAUGGACUACUGAUCGGAAAACUCUGUUAGUAUGGAAGUACAUAAGUGUAAGUAACUGUGCACAUCUUGACAGUACCGAAACAGAAAGCCACGGCUAACUACGUG
rnacentral:rRNA from 1 species